AACACGUGAGCAAUCUACCGAUUACUGGGGGAUAGCCGGCCCAACGGCCGGGUAAUACCGCAUACGCUCAAGAGGGGACAUCCCCAUUUGAGGAAACCUCCGGGGGUAAUCGAGGAGCUCGCGUCUUAUCAGCUAGUUGGUGAGGUAACGGCUCACCAAGGCUACGACGGGUAGCUGGUCUGAGAGGAUGGCCAGCCACAUUGGGACUGCGACACGGCCCAGACUCCUACGGGAGGCAGCAGUGGGGAAUAUUGCGCAAUGGACGAAAGUCUGACGCAGCGACGCCGCGUGUGGGAUGAAGCUCUUCGGGGUGUAAACCACUGUUGCCCGGGACGAAUAUCCUUUUUUGAAAGGAUUGACGGUACCGGGUGAGGAAGCACCGGCUAACUCUGUGCCAGCAGCCGCGGUAAUACAGAGGGUGCGAGCGUUGUCCGGAAUCACUGGGCGUAAAGGGCGCGUAGGUGGCUUGUUAAGCGUGUGGUGAAAGCCUGGGGCUCAACCCCAGGUCUGCCGUGCGAACUGGCAAGCUUGAGCGUAGUAGAGGCAGGUGGAAUUUCGGGUGUAGCGGUGGAAUGCGUAGAUAUCCGAAAGAACACCGGUGGCGAAGGCGGCCUGCUGGGCUACUGCUGACACUGAUGCGCGACAGCGUGGGGAGCAAACAGGAUUAGAUACCCUGGUAGUCCACGCCGUAAACGAUGGGUACUAGGCGUCUGGGGGAGCGACCCCCUGGGUGCCGGCGCUAACGCAUGAAGUACCCCGCCUGGGGAGUACGGCCGCAAGGCUGAAACUCAAAGGAAUUGACGGGGGCCCGCACAAGCGGUGGAGCAUGUGGUUUAAUUCGACGCAACGCGAAGAACCUUACCUGGGUUUGACAUGCUGGAGAAAGCCCUCAGAAACGGGGCCCCUCUUCGGAGUUCCAGCACAGAUGCUGCAUGGCUGUCGUCAGCUCGUGUCGUGAGAUGUUGGGUUAAGUCCCGCAACGAGCGCAACCCUCAUCCCUAGUUACCAGCGGGUAAAGCCGGGAACUCUAGGGGGACUGCCGGUGCCAAACCGGACGAAGGUGGGGACGACGUCAAGUCAUCAUGGCUCUUACAUCCAGGGCUACACACGUGCUACAAUGGGCCAGACAAAGGGUCGCCAACCCGCGAGGGGGAGCCAAUCCCAUAAACUGGUCCUCAGUUCGGAUUGCAGUCUGCAACUCGACUGCAUGAAGCUGGAAUCGCUAGUAAUCGUGGAUCAGCUACGCCACGGUGAAUACGUUCCCGGGCCUUGUACACACCGCCCGUCACGCCAUGGAAGCUGUGAGUGCCCGAAGUCCGUGCAGGAACCCGCAAGGGGCCGAGCGGCCGAAGGCAAGCGCAGUGACUGGGGCGAAGUCGUAACAAGGUAGCCGUAGGGGUGCGGCUGGAUC
rnacentral:rRNA from 1 species